ensembl:lncRNA
CCCCGCCAAGAGGCCCCGAGGGCACACGCACGUGCCCCACGUGCACACGCACGCCCACGCCACGUGCACUCGUCCUCCUCAGCGGCCAUCGCCAAAGCAACUGGACUCUCUCUCCGGGUUUUGACGGAGUCUCAGAUAUGAGAAGUGAAACCCAAUGGGGCCCUCGUCUCUCCUCCCCACCUCCCCCACCCCUAUAUCCUCACUCACCACCCCCUCCCUCUAUCACCCUCACUCUCCUCCCCCCCUCCCACCACCUCACUCCCCUCUCCCACCUCUAUCAACUCACUCACACCUCUCUCUCAACACUGACCCCUCACCUCCUUCACACCUCACCCCUCUCUCACCUCCCCCGCCCCCCUCCCCCACCACCUCAGUCACACUACCGCUUGCGCUCCAUAACAUCUGUCAGCUAUGUCCGCUGUGUCCCCGCUGCCGGCCGCGGUGCCGGGGGGGGGGGGGGCUCCCCACCCUAAGACUGUGGUUCUGAUGAACCAAAGAAAGAGCUUACUCCACUUCGACGUAGAAUCUCCACCCGGUGAUGUACACCCAAGUCUACUCCCCCACCCUGCAGACUAUUUUUUACGAACCAGUCCACAGUACUGGGCUCCUGGCCUGACGAUCAUGACAAUCAGUUGUUUCCAUUGCAGCAAUACCUUGAAUUCUCUUUCUCACAUGUACCCGUCCCGGAAUUCUUGUAAUUCUUGUGUAUUUAAGUGUCGCCUUGGCCGGAUUCAGACUGAUUAAAACAUGGGUUUGCAUUUUCACCCCCUCCAUUUGUUAGUAUUUUAAAUCGCUCAAGGCACUUCCAGACGCCAGUAUCAUAGUAUAGCAGCCAUUUAAAGAAAUGUUCAAGGUUUUUUUUAACUUCACAUUGAUGUUUUAUUAUUGCUGUGUGAAAAAACGUAUUUUGGCUUCUCCUUAUGACUGAACCUUCUGCAGCUCUGUAAACUAAUCUUAAGACCAAAUUGCUACUAUUGUGUUGUAAAGUUGUUUUUUUAUAUACAUUUUGGACUUACCUAUCUAUUAUAAAACUUUUAUAUGUUUUAUGUAUAAAAUUGUAAAAUAAAAAAAAAUCUGUUUUAGUUUUAGUUUACACCCUUUCUUUAAGCAAUACAUUCAUGUUGUGUGUUUGUUUCCACAAGAAACUCCUUUAGAGCAAACGUUUACAUUAAGUUGUUGUACUGUGCCACCGAAGCAGCAUUUGAACAAGUAUUAUGUUAUUCUCUAAAAGUGUGCAUGUUCCAACUGGUG